rnacentral:lncRNA from 1 species
CUUUGUAGUUGGCCGAAACUUUCAUGAUUCUGAAAUUUCAUAUUUCAUUCUAAAUAUUGUACAUAUGAACAACUUUAUUAAUAAUACAUCUUUAAGUUGUCAGCAUUUCACGUUCGAGGAAUAGCUAUUUCCUCAAGAGUUUUCGGUCGAUACGUAUCCAGUCUAAGUGUCUCGAUUAUUCUGUAGGAUCUUUUUCAAUUCGAAGAUAAUUUUCUUUGGUCUAG